rnacentral:rRNA from 1 species
UUCCUACGGGAGGCAGCAGUGGGGAAUAUUGCACAAUGGGGGAAACCCUGAUGCAGCGACGCCGCGUGAGUGAAGAAGGAAUUCGUUAUGUAAAGCUCUAUCAGCAGGGAAGAAAAUGACGGUACCUGAGUAAGAAGCCCCGGCUAACUACGUGCCAGCAGCCGCGGUAAUACGUAGGGGGCAAGCGUUAUCCGGAUUUACUGGGGGUAAAGGAAGCGUAGACGGCAGUGCAAGUCUGGAGUG